UGGCUCAGAGUGAACGCUGGCGGCAGGCCUAACACAUGCAAGUCGAGCGGCAGCGCGUCCGACCACCCUCGGGUGGUCGGAUGGCGGCGAGCGGCGGACGGGUGAGGAAUGCAUCGGAAUCUGCCUCGUUGUGGGGGAUAACGUAGGGAAACUUACGCUAAUACCGCAUACGACCUACGGGUGAAAGUGGGGGGACCUUCGGGCCUCACGCGAUGAGAUGAGCCGAUGCCGGAUUAGCUAGUUGGCGGGGUAAAGGCCCACCAAGGCGACGAUCCGUAGCUGGUCUGAGAGGAUGAUCAGCCACACUGGAACUGAGACACGGUCCAGACUCCUACGGGAGGCAGCAGUGGGGAAUAUUGGACAAUGGGGGCAACCCUGAUCCAGCCAUGCCGCGUGUGUGAAGAAGGCCUUCGGGUUGUAAAGCACUUUUGUUGGGGAAGAAACCGGCCGGGUUAAUACCCUGGUUGAAUGACGGUACCCAAAGAAUAAGCACCGGCUAACUUCGUG
rnacentral:rRNA from 1 species